rnacentral:lncRNA from 1 species
GAGGGUAUUCAGGUGGAUCCGAAGAAGAUAGAGGUCAUGCAGAGUAGGCCCAGACCAUCCUCAGCUACCGAGAUCCAUAGUUUCCUUGGCUUGGCAGGCUACUACCAUCGUUUUGUGGAGGGAUUUUCAUUGAUUGCAGCCCCUAUGACCAGGUUGACCCAGAAGGGUGCUCCGUUCCAGUGGACGGAGGAGUGUGAAGCGAGCUUUCAAAAGCUCAAGACAGUUUUGACUACAACCCCAGUUUUGAUAUUGCCUACAGGCUUGGGGUCUUAUACGGUCUAUUGUGAUGCCUCAUGGGUUGGCCUCAGAGUGGUGUUGAUGCAGGACGGUAGGGUGAUUGCCUACGCGUCCAGACAGUUAAAGAUACAUGAGAAGAACUACCCUGUUCAUGACCUUGAGUUAGCUGCCAUUAUUCACGCCCUUAAGAUUUGGCGCCAUUAUUUAUACAGGGUUCCCUGUGAGAUUUAUACUGACCAUCGGAGCUUGCAGCAUUUGUUCAAGCAAAAGGAUAUAAAUUUGUGCCAGAAGAGGUGGUUGGAGUUGCUGAAGGAUUAUGACAUCACUAUUUUGUAUCACCCGGGCAAGGCCAAUGUGGUGGCCGAUGCUUUGAGUCACCGGGCAGAGAGUUUUGGGGAGUUUGGCUUAUUUACCAGCAUCGGAGGCCUAUGGCGGUGGAUAUUCAGGCCUUAACUAGCCAGUUUGUGAGAUUGGACCUUUUGGAGCCCAAUCGGGUUCUUGCUUGCGUGGUUUCUCGGUCUUCCUUAUUUGAUCGUAUCAGGGAGAGACAGUAUGAUGACCCUCAUUUGCUUGUCCUCAAGGACAAGGUUCAGCACGGUGAUGCUAGAGAUAUGACUAUUGGUGAUGAUGGGGUAUUGAGGAUGCAGGGUCGGAUUUGUGUACCCAAUGUUGAUGGGCUUCGGGAGUUGAUUCUGGAGGAGGCCCAUAGCUCGCGGUAUUCCAUUCAUGUGGGUGCCGCAAAGAUGUAUCAGGAUUUGAGACAACACUAUUGGUGGAGGCGGAUGAAGAAAUAUAUGGUUGGAUUCGUAGCUCGGUGUCUCAACAGUCAGCAGGUGAAGUAUGAGCACCAAGACUGGGGGGUGCUUCAGCAUAUAGAGAUUCCGGAGUGGAAGUGGGAGAAGAUCACCAUGGACUUUGUAGUUGGGCUCCCAUAGACAUUGAGAAAGUUCGAUGCUAUUUGGGUGAUUAUGGAUCAUCUGACCAAGUCCGCUCACUUUAUUCCUGUGUGUACUACUUAUUCCUCGGAGCGGUUAGCGGAGAUUUAUAUCCGGGAGAUUGUUCUUCUGCAUGGUAUUCCAGUGUCCAUCAUUUCGGAUAGAGGUACUCAGUUCACAUCACGGUUCUGGAGGGUCGUUCAGCAUGAGUUGGGUACUCGAGUGGAGUUGAGUACAACAUUUCACCUUCAGAUGGACGGACAGUUCGAGCGCACUAUUCAGAUUCUUGAGGAUAUGCUCCGUGCGUGUGUGAUUGAGUUUGGAGGGUCUUGGGAUCAGUUCUUGCCAUUGGCGGAGUUUGCUUAUAACAACAACUAUCAGUCCAGCAUUCAGAUGGCACCGUAUGAGGCUUUAUAUGGGAGACGGUGUAGAUCCUCGGUGGGUUGGUUUGAGCCGGGUGAGGCUAGAUUAUUGGGCACAGACUUAGUUCAGAAUGCUUUGGAGAAGGUUAAGGUAAUUCAGGAUAGACUCCGCACAACCCAGUCUAGACAGAAGAGUUACGCGGACCGAAAGGUUCGUGAUGUUUCUUAUAUGGUUGGAGAGCGGGUCCUGCUUCGGGUUUCACCUAUGAAANNNNNNNNNNNNNNNNNNNNNNNNNAUAUUGAGGCGUGUUGGGGAGGUUGCUUAUGAGCUUUCUUUACCUCCCAGCUUGGCUGGAGUUCAUCUGAUAUUCCAUGUUUCGAUGCUCCGGAGGUAUUACGGUGAUCCGUCUCACGUGUUGGAUUUCAGUUCAGUCCAGUUGCUGAGGUCAAAGAACAUUACAUCCGUGAAGGUUUAGUGAUGGGGCCAGCCGGUCGAGGAGGCGACCUGGGAGACCGAGCAGGAUAUGCGCAGCCAUUACCCUCAUCUUUUCACUACUUUAGGUAUGUCUCUAUGCUCGUUCGAGGACGAACGAAUGUUUAAGUGUAGGAGGAUGUGAUGACCCGGACGGCCGUCUUAAGAAUUAAUGCUCUGAUCCCCUAUUAACUGCUUUCCCCAAAUUUAUUUUUGCUAUUUCGAUUUGCCAGGAUGUUCGGUUUUGAGUUUCGGAGAGUUUUGGGACACUUAGUCCCUAAAUUAGAGCUUAAGUGUUGGAAAGUUUACCUUAGUCAAAACAGUGUGAAGACGGUCUUGGAAUGGAAAUCUGAUGGUUAUGUUAGCUCUGUUGGGUGAUUUCGGGCUUAGGGGCACGUUCGGAUUGUAUUUUGGAGGUCCGUAGCUAAUUUAGGGUUGAAAUGCCGAAAGUUGAAUUUUUGAAGUUUCCGGUUCGAUAGUGAGAUUUUGAUCUGAGGGUCGGAAUGGAAUUUUGGAACUUCCAGUAGCUCCAUAGUGUUGAAUGUGAUGUGUGUGCAAAAUUUCAGGUCAUUCAGAUGAGGUUUGAUAGACUUUUUGAUCGAAAGAGUAUUUUUAGAGUUUUUGGAAUUCUUAGGCUUUAAUCCGAUAAAUAAUAGGUGUUUUCAUGUUGUUUUGAGUGUACCUUAGGUUGGAACAAGUUUAAAUGAUUUUUAGGAUUGGUUGGCAGGUUUGGUUGAGGUUCCGGGGGCCUCGGGGUGAUUUCGGAUGGUUGUCGGAAAGAUUUUAGAGUUAGAGUUGCCGCUUCAGCCGCUGGUUCUGCUAAUUUCGGAUGGUUCCCGUAGGUGCGGCGCCGUAUAAGCGGCUCAACAAUCUCAGAAGUGGAAGUGAGGAAGGGGCCAGAGUCCGCAGAUGCGGUCAGGUAGCCACAGAAGCGGCACCGCAUCUAUGGUAAUGUAGUCGAAGGUGCGGAAAGUCCUCCUUAAGUGAGAAGUUGCAGAUGCGACCUUUGGUCCGCAAAAGCGGGAUCGCAAAUGCGGUCCCUUGACCGUAGAUGCGAAAACAGCUGGCAAAAAUAUGAAAUUUUGAGGCUUUAGUUUCAAAAAAUGGAAAUUCGAUUUGGAGUUCGGGAAAAGGCGAUUUUGAGAGGAAAUUGAAGAGGAGAUCAUUGGAUAAUGAUUGUCUAACCCUUUCUAGUUAUAUUCCAUCAAUCUAUAGUUAGUUUCAUCAUUUAAUUUCGGAUUGGAGAUGAAAAUUGGGGAAAAGUUGGAAGAAAGUUCUUAGACUUAGAAUUCAACUUUUGAUUGGAAAUUUGACCUUAGAUUUGGAUAAUUUUGGUAUUCAUGAACUUGUGAGAGCAUGAGGAUUCUAAAAAUACAAAUUUUACCCGAUUCCGAGACGUGGGCCCGAGGGGCGUUUUGGUCAUUUUACCUGAUUUUGCGUAUUAGCUUAGAAUUUAAUUGUAGAAUCAGUUACUUUAAGUGUUAUUUACAUUAUGAAAUUGAAUUGAAUAGAUUUGGGCCAUUUGGAGUCGAAUACUCGUGGCAAGAACGUGGUCUCGGGUGAUUUUGAGUCGGUUUGAGGUAAGUGGCUUGUCUAACCUUGCGUGGGGGACUUUCCCCUUAGGAUUGGUAUUGUGGUAAUUGAAAUGCCUUGUACGUGAGGUGACGAGUGCGUACUUGUGCUAAUUGUUGAAAAUCAAGUUUUCAUAAAGUAACUUUAAUUGUGUUUUCCCUUACUAUUUAUUCUACUUGCACUUUUAAACCUGUUGUUAGUUAGAGAAACAUGUCUAAUUGACUUAAUAGCUUUAUUUGCUUUAACUGCCUUAUUUGUAUUACGUGAAGCAUGCUAGGUUAGAAUUGUCUAUGUUACCUUGUUAUGAAGUUGUGUUUAUUUGAGUAUUCCUUGUGCCAUUGUUGUGUGUUUUACUUUGGUACAACGAGACGACAUCCUGGGAGAUCCCUUGUACGCAUUUACGAUUUGAGCUGAAGUACGAGAUACCGAAAGAUCCCCAGCAUGUACAUUGAGGAUACCAAGAGAUCCUUGGGAUACCAAGAUAUCCCUAUCAUACAUUGAGGAUACCAAGAGAUCCUCGGGAUACCAAGAGAUCCAUAUCAUACAUUGAGGAUACCAAGAGAUCUUUGGGAUACCAAGAGAUCCCUAUCAUACAUUGAGGAUACCAAGAAAUCCUCGGGAUACCAAGAGAUCCCUAUCAUACAUUGAGGAUACCAAGAGAUCCUCGGGAUACCAAGAGAUCCCUAGCAUAUAUUGAGGAUACUGAGAGAUCCUCGGGAUACCAAGAGAUCCCUAGCAUAUAUUGAGGAUACCGAGAGAUUCUCGGGAUACCAAGAGAUCCCUAGCAUAUAUUGAGGAUACCGAGAGAUCCUCGGGUUACCAAGUGAUCCCUGACAUAUAUUGAGGGUACUAAGAUAUCCUCAGGAUACUGAGAGAUCCCCGGUUAUGUCCUUGUGAUUGUUUGCCUCUGUUUCAGUUUUUGAAUUCCUUGUUUUCCUGUAUUAAAUUCUUAUCGUUAGUUUUCGACUGUACUGCUUAUCUUAUACUGUCAUGUCUUAUAUUCUUUAUUUUAUCUCAGUAGGUCCCUGACCUUCCUCGUCACAACCCGACCGAGGUUAGACUUGGCACUUACUGAGUACCGUUGUGGUGUACUCAUGCCCCUUCUGCACAUAUUUUUCAUGUGCAGAUCCAGGUACUUUCACUCUGUCUUAUUAUCCUUGAGGCGAGGUGCUUCUGUAGAGACUUCAAGGUAUAUCUGCCGCGUCGGCAGAGUGAUGAGUCACUUUCUAUCUUUCUGUAGUAGUAUAGCCCUUCAGUACUCCCCUUUUGGUUAGACAUUUCUAGAGUUAGAGCUUCUUAUGUAUCUCUUAGCUUGUGAUUCAGGGGUUUUCGGGUUUUGGGAAAAUGUAUUGGUUUUAAGAGUUAAUAUUGUGUAUGUCGAGCAACACUUUUAAAUGCUGUUUUAUUACUCUAUUUCUGUUUUAAAUUAUUUUCUUCCACAAAUUUGGUUUAUCUUCCGCAUUUUAGGCUUACCUAGUCGUAGAGACUAGGUGUCAUCACGAUGGUUCACGGAGGGCGAACCGGGGUCGUGACAUUGUGCCUUGGCGACCUCUAACCUCCACCGAUGUGCAUAUUCUUGGAAUAGCUCGGAUGGUUUUUUCUGCAGGUUUCCCAGUGCGAACCGAUCGAGAGUGAUCUCUGUAUUGAAUCGAAAAUGAUUUAUGAAGUCCUCCACCAUAUCUUGCCAAUUUCUCCAAUUUCGCGGAUCCUGUCGAGUAUACCAGGUGACUGCUUCUCCCGUCUAACUUCUUAUAAAUAACUUCAUCCUUAGAUUCUCAUUCCUCCCCACUCCGACUAACUUAUCACAAUAUGCCCUCAAAUGUGCGUGGGCAUUACCCAUCCCAUUGAAGAUAUCGAACUUUGGGGGUUUAUACCUUGCUGGCAUAUCCACACCCGGAUGAAUACACAAAUCCUCAUAGUCCAAACUUUCACUUCCUCGGGCAACUUGGAGGCUCUUCAUUUGCUUUCUCAAGAUUUUCAACUACUUAUAUAUUGACUCUUCUUCCUUACGGGCUGGCUUCCCUCUCUAUUUUGGCAUAUUGGUCAAUCUCAUUAGGUACCCUGAUCGUGACAGGCGUUGUAAAGGUAGAUUCAUAAAUGGAAUAUAUAGGGGGGAAAUACCGCUCAUGGGUAGCGGCAUGUGCCACAGGUAUGUGCUGGUUAGUAGUAAAAGUGACUUCUUCACGAGGAAGGGUGUGAGUUACAAUGGUGGUGGUAGGCGGGUUUUGUGGUGUCUAAAUGUAUCGUGGUAUGUAGGGAGUGUGGAUAGGGGGAUUUAGUGGGUUUUGGAGGAGGGGGGUUUCUAGGGGUAUGACUUGAGUGGUAGGAACUGAAGUUAGGGUGUUGUUGUUUUGGCACGAUGUGGAAGGAAAGUGAUCAAGGAUUGAAUUCAAAGAAGGGAAUCGAGGUGGUUGAGGAAGAGUUGUCAUGACCAGGUGCACUAGUUCCAUGAUACGUUGCACUUCCUCCCUUAGAGACUCCAUUUACUAGGCCAUCCUGGCCACAUGUUCAUCAUUCCUGGUGUCGUCAUUUUCCCCCGAUCGCCACGGGCUGUCGGCUAUGACCAGAGCAUGUUUAGUUGGGUUUUCUGCGGCUAACAUCUUUCCUUUUGACCUUAGAUUGUAUGGUGGUUCCUCCAGUUUUGGUCGACACAAACUAAAUUUCUUUUCUUUUCGAGGAUAAUAAUAAAGCAAAAGAGAAAUAAGAAGAAAGAAAAGAAAAAAGGAACAAGAUUCAGUUUCUUCAUUUAUACAAGCAGGAAAUCACACAGAGCAAUUAAUUUAUCCAUUAAGGCUAACACGUUUCCUAGAAUUCGUGGGGACCUCUCAUUGCCGAAGGUAGGCCUCGCAGAUAUUUGACAAACAUUUAGACUUGACACAUUUAGAUCCAAAGAAAUUUUGUUAUCAUUGAUAAUUUGGACUGAUAUAAAUGGGAACAAAGAUUACAUCCCUGUUUCAUAUAACUGCAUAGGCUUGGACAACUUCCCUUAUAGAAAGUAAAAGAAAAAACUGGGGUUAAGUGUACAAAGUGGGAAAGAUGGGGAAAUCAACCAACUCUAAUAACCAUUCCCUGAGUCAUUUCCCAUCUCCUCCACUUCUGCUGGCUCUUCUUCCGGAUCCUCCUCCGGGUCUUAGUCAAACUCCUCCUCGUCAUUGGUGAACUCUGACUCUUUCUCCGGAUCUUUUUCUGGCUCUGUGCUGGACUCUAUUUAGAUGCACUACAUUACCCGGUUAUCUUCUUCAACAAGUGGAAAUAUAUGAUCAAUGGAUCUUGGGACCUCUUGACGGUGCAUCGAAGUAGUCACAAGGUAAUGUGGUAGGAUCUCAUGGUAUCUUUGCAAAGCAGCCACUCUGUCCUCCAACCAGGUUAUACCCUCUAUGCUUGGCCAAGCCAGCUCAUCUUCCUCGUUGAUCCAGACGUAAUACUCAGGAGUGCACUACGAGUUUUGACCCAUCGGCAUUGUAACCAGGUUUUUCCACUCUUCUUGGAGCCUUCUUAUCUUGGGAAUUGGAAUCUGUCCUUGUACUCAUCCACAUAUAAUGUUGUUCUUGUCCAUAGAGGCACAUCUUGGAUCAUCCCGAACUGUUUGAGGACCUGAAGGGGUGAGUAUUGUUGAACACCUUCAAGUCCGAUCAACUCAAUGAAGUAUUUCUAAAGAGUCCUCAAGAUUGCUCUUCCACCUAACCAUGAUAGCUUCCAGUUGAUCCAUUCCCUAUUCAGGUUCGUCAGCAUUUCCCUCCACUCUUCUUGCCCAUGUGGGGAGACUCAAUGUCUCAUUCUUUUGUUGUGGUUGUGGAUCAUGUUGCUGACACCCACAAAGUAGUCGAUGGUGGCCUCUCGCUGGAACAAAUGUUCAGUAGCCCAGAUCUGAAGCAGCAACUUGCAACACUUAAAAUCAUACCCUCAUGCACAUGCAAACAAAGCCCUCAGUAUCUCAGCUACCAUCAUCGGCACCAAAGUGGCUUGAAGAUUGCCACGGAAGGCCGCCAGAACCAUAGGUAAUAGGUUGAUAUUGAUCCAACCCCGUCUCUACGGGAAGACCAAUAGUCCCAAUAGUGCCAUUGAGAAGGUGAUAGGCCUGAGACUCUCCCACGUCUCUUGGUCACAUUGAAAUUCUCCCGAAUACCACUUGUAGCUUUCACAGUGCCCAAAUCUGUCGAACAGUUGGUCGAGGCUUACCCAUCUGUCCUCGAUACUUCUAAGACUCCUACUAGUGGCCAGGCCUAAAACAUCCAAGAACCGAUAAUCGGGCAUAGUAAUAGGCAAUAUCAGCUUCCUUCUAUUGAAUGGCAGCUUCGUGAAACUCGUGACGUCCUCCAGUUUCGGUACUAACUCAAGGUCGACAAAUUUGAAUACCACUUUAUCCGGGUCCCAAAAUUCUAUCAACAGUCGAGUUAGCACCCUAUCUGCUCGGAUGUUCAGCAAAGUGGUUAGUGCCCCCAGGUGCGUCCGAACGUUAUCUUCGUGUUCCCGGCGAAUAUUCUUCCACUGCUGCUUCAAUUUAUAUGGCGCUUCCAUUACCAUGUUAAUCUUAGGGAUGUUUCGGUUGAUUUCCAAUUCUGAGGUGGGUAAAGAAAAUGUGUUUGGUAAGUGUUUGCUUCGGAUCUUUAAGUGUCUUGUUAAGUUUGUUUGUCUUUCCACAAAAAUAAUGUCAUUAGGUGCAUGAACCGUUGACGUUAGGGUGGGUUUCCUAAUUGUGUGUCGAUGCCAAGGAUCGACUCACCUAAGGUUUAUGCAGUAUGACCUAUUUUUGCUAGAGUAGAGUUUUUCCUACUUUUGAGUUGGACUGAAGGCUGCGAGAAAUUAUGUCAGUUGACCUGACAAAGCCAUUCUCUGAAACUAGAGAGUUUGAAAAGAAGGUUCGGAUGAGUGUAAAAGACAACCCUCGCAUGCCAUUAUGUGUGAAAGUAUAUGGCCAAGACUCGAUAGGAAGAACUGUGAUGACAGUAUAUGUAAAGCACUAACAGACAAGAAUGUAGCAACAAUAAGCAUGAUAAUAAAUAUGAAGAGCAAAUAAAGCAGGUAAGCACUGUCACACCUCCUUUUUCACCUACGCCCGCAAGGGCAUAAAGGAGUUUUUCCAAUUAAAGGACAAUCAGAACGAGAUUUAGUUAUUAAUUAUUCAGAGUCGCCACUUGGGAAAUUAAUGGUGUCCCAAGUCACCGGUUAUACCCCGAACCGAGGAAAAAUAUGACUCUGUUAACAGUCCGCGAACCAAAAAUCCGGAUAAGGAAUUCUGUUAACCCGGGAGAAGGUGUUAGGCAUUCCCGGGUUCCGUGGUUCUAGCACGGUCGCUCAACUGUUGUAUUUGAUUUUAUCUGAUUUCAAAACAUGUUCUAGCUUAUGUGCUUUUUAAUUUUAAACCACUUUUAUUAUUAUUAUUUUAACGAGAAUUGCAACGUCGUGAAAAUACGUCUCGAACCACGUCACAUAAAUGCACCCGUGGUUGUUGACAUAUUUCGACUUCGUUGAGAUUCGAAUUUGGGUCACAUAAAUGCGCACCCGAGUUUAGGAAGGUGAAUUAUUAAAAACGCAUCCAAAGUGUCUAACGCGCUAUCAUCUUUAGGGAAGGCCGUGAAAUUCGCUAAACGGCCCAUCUCGAAUUCUAAGUAUUUCAUUAUAACUAAUUAUUGAGGGCCCCGCAAUUUAUGUGUUUUGUUCAGCGAGGCUCGUCUCAUUUUAUUUUAAAAAGGCAGACUCUAGAGCUAUUAGAAUUUUCUAUUUUUUAUUUGUCUCUAUUAAUCAAGAAAAGGUCCUAAUCAAUUAUUAGUAUUAAUAAACUAGCAUUUGAAAGUGUUACACCGGCCGAAAUUUCCCACAACCAUGGACAUUGGGCCUGAAGUUAGCCCAAAUCAAUCAAGCCAAAUCGAACCGUCUAGGGAGCAGCUGGUCGAAUCCCUGAAGUGGCAAUCCAACGAAUUGUUUAAAUGUCUGCUCACUAACUUUACCCCAAACUCUCGUGAACGGGCUCCACUCUUCUGAUAAAAGUAAAUUAAUAUGCACUUACCUAAAUCAAUUGGAUACUGACCCUCAAAUCGUUCAAGAGAGUAAUUAUGUCGUCCUGAUUUUAAAAAUGAACAAACGUACUAAUAAAUUUACUCACGCUUGCAGUUACAAGACAAAUGUUAUACCUCCUAAUUUGUUAUGCUUUUAAACCAAUUUAUGAACCAUCUGAUGAGAAAACAACUAAGACUAAAGUGAACUAUUAACUCCGACUACUGACUCAUAAUUGUCAAAGCUACUGCAUUACGAAAUUAUUUAGGACGCAUGUUCAGCAUUAGAAUAGAACUCAACGUGACAACACACCAGUUCCAGCUUCACCGCAAACUUGAACUGUUUAUGAUUUUGAAUUUUUAAACAGAAAAUUGCUAAGCUAAACAAGCUAAAUCUAAGUAACUACAAAUCAACAGUCCAGCAAUCUAAAUAACACAGUUCUACCAGUUCAGUUAUACAUUCAAAUUGAUUGUAUCGUACAACAACCAAAUCACAUAAAACUAUUAAAAUAUAAUGAGAUUCACAAACGACAUAUCUAUAGCCGAAGCUCCAGUUUUCAUUUCAUUUUCCAGCAAGUGAUCUACAUAGUACUGAGUUUCAUGGUGAGUACCUGGAGAUGUGAAAUACAAUAAGAAGAGGAAGACGAUCAGCAGCAAUAACAGCCACGAGUAGAAAUCAAUCACCAGUAACUUAAUUCAAUAGCCACGAAGAGUUGGAUACCAAAUAACACCCAGGCAAUCAACCACAAGUUACUACACCCAAAUGCAAUUGCAAUUUGCCCAGAAACUACAACACUUCUUCAACAAUCGAGAAAUAACCAGCAAUCACUCGAAAUAGUUUCAAACACCUUCAGAUGUCCUAAACACUCAGGUACAGGACAGAACCAGAGAAAUCCAUGCUACUUAUCAUCCUAAAUGAAUUAACUAGUGGAAUAAAAAAACUGAAAUUGGAAAAUAACCCAGGAAAAAAUAAUGAAACCAUUUUUUUUUGUUUCACAUUUGUUUUCUGAUUUUUAAUAGAAAUCUAAGAUCUAAAAGGAAGUUUUUUGAACUUUUACUAAUUUGAAAUUCAACUAUAGGCUCAGAUCUGUAGAGAAGGCUUUUGGGGGAAAUUUUGGGUGAAGAGCCGACCCUUUCACAAGGCAAAUGUGACCCUAUUUAUAGGCAAACAAACAGCUCCUUAUUUUCCUUUGAGUCCCUUAUGUAAUUUCACCCUAGUCCCUUAGUUCUUGACUUGUGCCACAAGUUAAUACAACACAAUUACUGAAAUUACAUUAAAGUCCUAUUUUGGAAGACCCUAGAAGUUUCUAGUUUCUACUACCAUGUGCUACCCAAUCCUAAAUGUCUAAACUACCCUUUAUCUAAGCUGAAAGUUAACCAAAUUGACCCAUCCUCUUUACUUCAAUUAGCAACUAAGAUUAAAUACUAAAAGGGAUUCCAGAAAAGAAAAUCAACUAAGUCUAAACAAAAACUCCUAAAGUUGUAUUAUCCUAACCCAUUAAUCACCAAUGUAGAACUAAAGUGCUGACCCUAACUGAGUUCAAUUACUUGCACAAAUCCUUCGAGAUCAAGCCAACCAGAAAAUUGACAAAACAAGAUCAAACCAAACUAAAAUGGAGCAAAAGUAAUUAAUCAUGAAACCAUUUUACUGACUGAAAUCAAAACUAAACCAAAACCUAAAACGUUGCCUAAGGCUUAAUCAAUGGGAACUAAACUUAAACAGUUGACCAAAAUAGACUUAAGCAAAUUCGAAUCAACAUUUAACAACCCUUAAACCAACAGAACAAAACACAAUCAAACUAAAAUUAAAUUUAACUAAAGAGAAAUCAAACCAGUGUUAAGAUUGAAAAAAAAUCACAACUAACCAACAAUUUAGGAGAAUUAUUCAUUGACUAAAUCAUAAGAAGAAGCAGGGAACACAGGAAGAUAUAUAAAAAAAAUGAGGACUCACAGCUUGACUCGAAUUCUUUGAUUCAAAAUAUGACCAUCUUGGGCAUGAAUUUGAACAUCAAUGACAGCGAAUUCUUCAUGAAGGGAAUGAGGAGACCGUGUAGUACCAAUUGGGUAGUUUUCAGAGACAUUAGAAUUUCCGGCCAACUUUGAACUAAUAUUCGAGCCAUUUGACUGAUAUUUGAGGGAAUCCAGUGGGAGAUUCUAGUAGAGGAGAACUAGGAGAGCACGAGGUGUUAAUUUGGGGUGGUUUGGACGGAGUUGUGUUGUGGCCGGAGUUUUUCGAUCCAAGAUUUGAAGGCUUUGGCUGGGAUUCGAGAAAAACUAAUAUGGGUUUUGGAAAGAGGAGGAGAAGAUGAGUUGAGGGUGUAUUUUUGGGAGGGAUUGGAGCUUCACCGCCGCCGGCAACGAUUUCCGGCCGGCGGCGGACGACGGAGGCACGGCGGCGUUACAGAGGGAGUGUACGAGGAAGACGAAAAUGUUUUUUU